UACGGGGGGAGCAAGCGUUGUUCGGAUUUACUGGGCGUAAAGGGCGCGUAGGCGGCCAGCACAAGUCAGUUGUGAAAUCUCCGGGCUUAACCCGGAAAGGUCAGCCGAUACUGCGGGGCUAGAGUGCAGAAGGGGCAACUGGAAUUCUCGGUGUAGCGGUGAAAUGCGCAGAUAUCAGGAGGAACACCAAUUGCGAAGGCAGCUCGCUGGGACGUUACUGACGCUGAGACGCGAAAGCGUGGGGAGCAAACAGG
rnacentral:rRNA from 1 species